rnacentral:misc_RNA from 1 species
AACGCAACCUGCGCCUCCUGGUUUUCCAGGAGGCAUACCUAUUUCAGUGCCAUUUUAAAUUCUCUAAUAAAAAGACCCUUCUUUGGAAGGAUCCUAUUUAUUAGGAUAAUGAGAGUUUGAAGGUUUUUUUUUGAAUACCCUUCAUCUCUUGAAAAAUAAGCUAGGAGAGAUUUACAUUAAGGGGAUCUCUUUUGAUGUAGAUUGAAUAAUUUUACUAGAAAGAGUGACUCUUAAAAUGUCUUCUGGAUGGUUUUAAAAAAAGGUUCUCCUUUGAGGGAGUCUUUUUUUUUCAUUUAUGGCCUGAAAUUAGGUAAGACUACCCGCUGAAUUUAA